GUUUCACUGACCUUAGCCCAACCCUCCGUCAAUCGUCUUGGAGAAAUUCCAAGCUUUGAGCCUUCAGAGGAAGCUCUGGCAGAACCCAAACGUGCUCUGUCUGCUUCAGAAAUUCACGGAAGAAGUCUUUCUCUCCUUGUAGCCCCAGGCCCCAUGGAGGAGGAUGGGAGUUACAGGAGGCACCAGGGUGACAGAUCAGGGCUCCAGGGGUCUUUACAUAUCUCUCUGACUGCUGCGUGGGAAAUGGCUCAAAGCAGGAGCAUGGCGAGGCAGUUCUGGUGGCAGGAGAUUUGAGCAAAUGGCAUCAGCUGUCGGAUGAGAGGGCUAAACUGUCUGUAUUCACCAAGUGCCAGCAAAGAGCCUGCUCCAGCCCUAACAAAUGCUCGAAUGGAUGAAUGAAGAGCUGUGAUUGAGUUUAACACUGCAGGGAGACCCUCAAGGGAAGGAUUCAGGUGGAAAUGAGGAAAGGAGAAAGAAUGAGGAGGGGACACCAAUUCAAAUUGAGCCACCCAGACGCCCUUGGGUGGUGAGGGCUCGCUGGAAUGGCUGAGAUGGGGCUUCUUUCAUUUCACCAGUUGAUAUAGCAGGUGCCUCUGUGCCCACCUCACCUUGGAUUCCUGCUGCAGCUGUGGACAGCAGUCCCACGGAGCUUUCACUUGAUUUAUUACCUGCCCAGGGAACUUACCUUCACCCUGCACCUUUCAGAGAACUGGGAGGGAGCCCACUCUAUUUCCAUUCAGAGCUUAUUACUAUCCUCAGGCCAACCCAGACUGUGAAGCAUAGGAGGCUCCUCCAAGACCAUCCUUGAGUGGACAGUCCUGCUACAGGUGCCCAGAAGGGCUAGGGGACUGAUCCCAUUGCCCCCCCAGCAGUGACAUGCCGAGCAACCCUCCCUUCUACUGGCUUUUCUGCCUUGCUUCUCUCACUCUUCCUGGCCCUCGCUUCUAGUCUUUGUUUGACUUUGAAAAAUGAGUAUGAUUAGG
rnacentral:lncRNA from 1 species